rnacentral:tRNA from 1 species
CAAAAAGUAGUUUAUCAGAAUGCUAGCUUUGGGAGCCAGUGGUGGAGGUUAAAGUCCUUCCUUUUUGA